UGGGGAAUAUUGCACAAUGGGCGAAAGCCUGAUGCAGCAACGCCGCGUGAGUGAUGAAGGCCUUCGGGUUGUAAAGCUCUGUCUUUUGGGGCGAACGUGAGUAUGGUGAACAAUCAUAGUCAGUGACGGUACCAAAGGAGGAAGCCACGGCUAACUACGUGCCAGCAGCCGCGGUAAUACGUAGGUGGCAAGCGUUGUCCGGAAUUAUUGGGCGUAAAGAGCGCGUAGGCGGGAUAGUCAGUCUGUUGUAAAGUGCGGGGCUCAACCCCGUGAUGGCAAUGGAAACAGCUACUCUUGAGUGCAGGAGAGGAAAGUGGAAUUCCCAGUGUAGCGGUGAAAUGCGUAGAUAUUGGGAGGAACACCAGUGGCGAAGGCGACUUUCUGGACUGUGUCUGACGCUGAGGCGCGAAAGCCAGGGGAGCGAACGGGAUUAGAUACCCCGGUAGUCCUGGCCGUAAACGAUGGGUACUAGGUGUGGGAGGUAUCGACCCCCUUCCGUGCCGGAGUUAACGCAAUAAGUACCCCCGCCUGGGGAGUACGGUCGCAAGACUGAAACUUAAAUGAAUUGACGGGGUCAUAGCUGUUUCCUG
rnacentral:rRNA from 1 species